CCUACGGGCGGCAGCAGUGGGGAAUAUUGCACAAUGGGGGAAACCCUGAUGCAGCGACGCCGCGUGAGGGAAGAAGUAUUUCGGUAUGUAAAGCUCUAUCAGCAGGGAAGAAAAUGACGAUACCUGAUUAAGAAGCACCGGCUAACUACGUGCCAGCAGCCGCGGUAAUACGUAGGGGGCAAGCGUUAUCCGGAUUUACUGGGUGUAAAGGGAGCGUAGGCGGCAGCACAAGUCUGGAGUGAAAUGCGGGGGCUUAACCCCGGAACUGCAUUGGAAACUGGCAGUCUCGAGUUGGAGAGAGGUAAGCGGAAUGCGCGGUGUAGCGGUGAAAUGCAUAGAUAUCGCGAAGAACACCGAUUGCGAAGGCAGCAUGCCGGCUCCACACUGACGCUGAGGCACGAAAGCGUGGGGAUCGAACAGGAUUAGAUACCCGUGUAGUC
rnacentral:rRNA from 1 species